GAGUUUGAUCCUGGCUCAGGAUGAACGCUAGCGGCAGGCCUAACACAUGCAAGUCGCGGGGCAUCGCGGCGGUGGCGACACCGCCGGCGGCGACCGGCGCACGGGUGCGUAACGCGUGAGCAACCUGCCCGGCACAGGGGGAUAACCGCCGGAAACGGCGCCUAAUACCCCGUGACCCGAGGAGGGGCAUCCCUCCUCGCUGAAAGCCCUUAAUCGGGCGGUGCCGGAUGGGCUCGCGUGGCAUUAGCUAGUCGGCGGGGUAGCGGCCCACCGAGGCUACGAUGCCUAGGGGUUCUGAGAGGAAGGCCCCCCACACUGGGACUGAGACACGGCCCAGACUCCUACGGGAGGCAGCAGUGAGGGAUAUUGGACAAUGGGCGGAAGCCUGAUCCAGCCAUGCCGCGUGAAGGACGACGGCCCUACGGGCCUUAAACUUCUUUUGGCGGGGAGCAAUAAGGGCCACUUGUGGCCCGAUGAGAGUACCCGCCGAAUAAGCAUCGGCUAACUCCGUGCCAGCAGCCGCGGUAAUACGGGGGAUGCGAGCGUUAUCCGGAUUUAUUGGGUUUAAAGGGUGCGUAGGCUGCGCUUCAAGUCGGCGGUGAAACCCCCGCGCUCAACGCUGGGUCUGCCGUCGAAACUGUCGCGCUUGGAUGGGGGCGCCGCGGGAGGAAUGUGUGGUGUAGCGGUGAAAUGCAUAGAUAUCACACAGAACACCGAUUGCGAAGGCAUCUCGCGAGUCCCAAAUUGACGCUGAUGCACGAAAGCGUGGGUAUCGAACAGGAUUAGAUACCCUGGUAGUCCACGCAGUAAACGAUGAUGACUAGCUCGCGGGCCUUUAGCGGUUCGCGGGCCAAGCGAAAGCGAUAAGUCAUCCACCUGGGGAGUACGGCCGCAAGGCUGAAACUCAAAGGAAUUGACGGGGGCCCGCACAAGCGGAGGAACAUGUGGUUUAAUUCGAUGAUACGCGAGGAACCUUACCCGGGCUCGAACGGCGCGUGCAUGCGGCUGAGAUGCCGCUUUCGCAAGACCCGCGCCGAGGUGCUGCAUGGUUGUCGUCAGCUCGUGCCGUGAGGUGUCGGCUUAAGUGCCAUAACGAGCGCAACCCCUGCCGCCAGUUGCCAUCAAGUGAAGUUGGGGACUCUGUCGGGACUGCCACCGCAAGGUGCGAGGAAGGGGGGGAUGACGUCAAAUCAGCACGGCCCUUACGUCCGGGGCGACACACGUGUUACAAUGGCGGCUACAGAGGGUUGCCACCCGGCGACGGGGAGCUGACCUCAAAAGGCCGUCUCAGUUCGGACUGGAGUCUGCAACCCGACUCCACGAAGCUGGAUUCGCUAGUAAUCGCGCAUCAGCCACGGCGCGGUGAAUACGUUCCCGGGCCUUGUACACACCGCCCGUCAAGCCAUGAAAGCCGGGGGCGCCUGAAGCGCGCUGCCGCGAGGGACGCCCAAGGGCGAACCCGGUGAUUGGGGCUAAGUCGUAACAAGGUAGCCGUACCGGAAGGUGUGGCUGGAUCACCUCCUU
rnacentral:rRNA from 1 species